rnacentral:rRNA from 1 species
AGAGUUUGAUCAUGGCUCAGAUUGAACGCUGGCGGCAGGCCUAACACAUGCAAGUCGAGCGGUAGCACAGAGAGCUUGCUCUCGGGUGACGAGCGGCGGACGGGUGAGUAAUGUCUGGGAAACUGCCUGAUGGAGGGGGAUAACUACUGGAAACGGUAGCUAAUACCGCAUAAUGUCGCAAGACCAAAGUGGGGGACCUUCGGGCCUCAUGCCAUCAGAUGUGCCCAGAUGGGAUUAGCUAGUAGGUGGGGUAACGGCUCACCUAGGCGACGAUCCCUAGCUGGUCUGAGAGGAUGACCAGCCACACUGGAACUGAGACACGGUCCAGACUCCUACGGGAGGCAGCAGUGGGGAAUAUUGCACAAUGGGCGCAAGCCUGAUGCAGCCAUGCCGCGUGUGUGAAGAAGGCCUUCGGGUUGUAAAGCACUUUCAGCGGGGAGGAAGGCGGUGAGGUUAAUAACCUCAUCGAUUGACGUUACCCGCAGAAGAAGCACCGGCUAACUCCGUGCCAGCAGCCGCGGUAAUACGGAGGGUGCAAGCGUUAAUCGGAAUUACUGGGCGUAAAGCGCACGCAGGCGGUCUGUCAAGUCGGAUGUGAAAUCCCCGGGCUCAACCUGGGAACUGCAUUCGAAACUGGCAGGCUAGAGUCUUGUAGAGGGGGGUAGAAUUCCAGGUGUAGCGGUGAAAUGCGUAGAGAUCUGGAGGAAUACCGGUGGCGAAGGCGGCCCCCUGGACAAAGACUGACGCUCAGGUGCGAAAGCGUGGGGAGCAAACAGGAUUAGAUACCCUGGUAGUCCACGCCGUAAACGAUGUCGAUUUGGAGGUUGUGCCCUUGAGGCGUGGCUUCCGGAGCUAACGCGUUAAAUCGACCGCCUGGGGAGUACGGCCGCAAGGUUAAAACUCAAAUGAAUUGACGGGGGCCCGCACAAGCGGUGGAGCAUGUGGUUUAAUUCGAUGCAACGCGAAGAACCUUACCUGGUCUUGACAUCCACAGAACUUUGCAGAGAUGGAUUGGUGCCUUCGGGAACUGUGAGACAGGUGCUGCAUGGCUGUCGUCAGCUCGUGUUGUGAAAUGUUGGGUUAAGUCCCGCAACGAGCGCAACCCUUAUCCUUUGUUGCCAGCGGUCCGGCCGGGAACUCAAAGGAGACUGCCAGUGAUAAACUGGAGGAAGGUGGGGAUGACGUCAAGUCAUCAUGGCCCUUACGACCAGGGCUACACACGUGCUACAAUGGCAUAUACAAAGAGAAGCGACCUCGCGAGAGCAAGCGGACCUCAUAAAGUAUGUCGUAGUCCGGAUUGGAGUCUGCAACUCGACUCCAUGAAGUCGGAAUCGCUAGUAAUCGUAGAUCAGAAUGCUACGGUGAAUACGUUCCCGGGCCUUGUACACACCGCCCGUCACACCAUGGGAGUGGGUUGCAAAAGAAGUAGGUAGCUUAACCUUCGGGAGGGCGCUUACCACUUUGUGAUUCAUGACUGGGGUGAAGUCGUAACAAGGUAACCGUAGGGGAACCUGCGGUUGGAUCACCU